rnacentral:rRNA from 1 species
CCCUUAGAUGUUCGGGGCCGCACGCGCGCUACACUGAAGGACUCAGCGUGUCUCUCCCCCUAUCCCGAAAGGGAUGGGCAACCCGUUGAACCUCCUUCGUGCUAGGGAUUGUGGUUUGCAAUUAUCCCCCAUGAACGAGGAAUUCCCAGUAAGCGCGAGUCAUCAGCUCGCGUUGAUUACGUCCCUGCCCUUUGUACACACCGCCCGUCGCUACUACCGAUUGGAUGGUUUAGUGAGACCCUCGGAUCGGUCCCGACUCGGAGUGGGCUUCUGCCCCGGUCGUGGUUUCGCCGAGAAGACGGUCAAACUUGACUAUCUAGAGGAAGUAAAAGUCGUAACA